GAAAGAGCCUGGGUUUCUCACCCAGCCUGUGGCCUGGACGACAGGGUGCGGAGGCAGGGUUGGGAGAACAGGAGCUGAGUUGAUGGGCCCAGAGAAAAUAUAUAUGCGCAGGCACCCAGCUGUGAGGGGGAGCACUGGGUGGGGCUGUGGGUAUGUGCUGAGGGAGGAGAAGGGGGUGAUAGGGAUAAGCAGGAGGGGGAGGGAAGGGCAACACCAGGGCUAUGGGGGUGGGGACGGAGAGAUGGGGGAAAGGUGGGUACAGAGAGAAAGGGCAGACAUGGAGAAGAAGAUAGAGGUGAGAGAGAAGAGAUGGCAUGAGGAAGAAAGGAGCUGUGUGGAAGACGGUGGCCAUGGGGUUGAAGGUGGGUAUUGCUAGCUUAGGGUGCAGUGGACCUGGACGUGAGAGAUGAAGUUGGAGGGGAGAUGAGGGUUGAGGGAACAUUCCAUGGGAGAGCAGGGUUUGAGCUCAUGACUGUGUUGUCCCUGUCCUUCCCCCCACCUCCUGCAGGUACAUGGUGCGGGUCCGAGCUGUGGUGAUGGCCCGAGAUGACUCCAGUGGGGGCUGGCUGCCUGUGGGGGGCGGGGGCCUCAGCCAGACAACCUUGGAGUGUACACUGAAGCCAGGCUUGGUUUACAACAAGGUGAAUCCCAUCUUUCACCACUGGAGCCUGGGUGACUGCAAGUUUGGACUGACGUUUCAGAGCCCUGCAGAGGCUGAUGAGUUCCAGAAGAGCCUGCUGGCUGCGCUGGCCGCACUGGGUCGAGGCUCACUCACCCCCUCCUCCUCCUCCUCCUCCUCCUCUCCUUCCCAGGAUACUGCAGAGACCCCCUGCCCUCUGACGCUCUCCCAGUACUUCAGGCAUAUGCUGUGCCCUUGACAGUGGCCCUAACCGCAUCCUUAUGAAUAGGUACUCUUAGGAUCCCCGUUUUACAGAGGAGGAAACUGAGGCUCAAAGAGUCCCACGUGGACAGCGACUCCUCCUCCAGUCACAGCCGCCAGGAGACUCCUCCCAGCGCCGCUGCGGCCCCCAUCAUCACGAUGGAGUCAGCUUCAGGCUUCGGGCCGACCACGCCCCCCCAGCGCCGCCGCUCCUCCGCUCAGAGCUACCCUCCGCUUCUACCGUUCACGGGGAUUCCGGAACCCUCAGAGCCCCUGGCAGGGGCAGGGGGCCUGGGGUGGGGCGGCCGCGGCUACGAGGAUUACCGGCGCUCCGGGCCACCCGCGCCCCUCGCCCUGUCCACCUGCGUCGUGCGCUUCGCCAAGACCGGCGCGUUGAGGGGCGCUGCCCUGGGUCCCCCAGCGGCACUACCUGCCCCUUUGACCGAGGCUGCGCCCCCAGCGCCCCCCGCUCGCCCACCCCCCGGCCCGGGCCCAUCCUCUGCGCCUGCCAAGGCCUCCCCGGAAGCGGAGGAGGCAGCGCGCUGCGUGCAUUGCCGCGCGCUCUUCCGUCGCAGAGCAGACGGGCGUGGCGGCCGCUGCGCAGAGGCCCCGGACCCGGGUCGCCUCCUGGUGCGCCGUCUAAGCUGCCUGUGGUGCGCCGAGAGCUUGCUCUACCACUGCCUGUCGGACGCCGAGGGCGACUUCUCGGACCCGUGCGCCUGCGAGCCGGGCCACCCGCGCCCCGCCGCGCGCUGGGCCGCGCUGGCCGCGCUCUCCCUGGCAGUGCCCUGCCUCUGCUGCUACGCGCCCCUGCGCGCGUGCCACUGGGUCGCAGCGCGAUGCGGCUGCGCCGGCUGCGGGGGUCGCCACGAGGAGGCUGCGCGGUGAGGACGGCCUGGUGGGUCCCCUAGCCGGCCCGAGGACCCAAAAUUGAGGGUCCAGGACCCCGGACUCCGUUCGGACCUAAAACCCAAACCUAGGCACAUCCGGAACUUGGAGCUUGAGUUUGGAUUGAGAGAUCUCAGACCUGGAACCUGGAACCCAAACCUAGGACUGAGAGACCCCAGCCCCAGCUUCAUUGGGGUGUCUGUCUAAGAAGUCCCAGGCGUCCUGAGUUCUGGCGUUCCCCCACCCCCACACCCCACGAGGAGGCUCCAGGCGUCCCCAUACUUUGCAUCUCAGAAAGGCCAGGGAGCACAUAGAUCCCGAAAAGGGCAGGUCCCUGUUGAAAUGAACAACCUAGAACCCGGUCACGCCUGGCACCAUGUCCCUCAGAUUACAGCCCCACAAUUAGUCAGGACUUGCCCAUAACUGGCUCUGCCUUUAUUCAACUCCCAGAUCAGAUCUUGAGACCAUAGGACCUGGAGUCACCCACAAACAGUUCCUGAAUAUUCACCUAAGACCUGGUGCCCCCACAUCUGAGACAUUCUCAUAGUCCCAGGACCCCUGAGACAGCAGGACCCCUGAGAAAGUUUCAAACAGAGUUUGAAACUCUGUUAUGCUCUGGAAUCUCCAGAUGCUGCCCCUCAAAUCUACCCACGACUUAGUGCCCACAGACCUGGCCUCCAGUCCGGGAACACUGAAGUCUAAGAUGUCCAGGGAACUCCCAGACACCCUGGGACCCCAGACUCUUAAGAUGCACUGAGUGCUCGGAUAUACUGAAACACGAGCUGUUCUCUUACCAAAAUGACUUGGGAGACCCAUCCCAGAGCCCCCAAGAUCCAGAUAUCAGACACCAAGAUGCUCUGGAAGCCAGGGAUCAAAGACCUCCAUAGGUCCACCCACCCCCAAGCCAGGGUUCUCAGGAGCUUUGGAUAUCAUUUAUAGGACUCAGAGGUGCCUGGGGUCCUCAGAUGUGCGACUGAAGGCCACCAACACCUCAGGACCCGAGAUACUGGUCUCGAGUUCUCAAAUAGCCCUCUCUUGCAGUCCCUCCUGGACCUGGAUUUUGAGACCCCAAAUGUCCUGGAAUCUUCAGCUUCUUUCUACCCACAGAUUCCCAACCCCUUAAGGGCUGGGAGUCCAGCUCCCAGAAGAGGGGAUGCUCAUGGUGACCCAGACCUCUGAUGCCCUUGGCCCUCAGCCCUUGAGUGACCCUAAGGUACUUUAGGAGCACUGGAUCCAAUACCCCAAAGGUGCCACUGACCCCCAAAUGCAAGGCUCAAGACCCUACAACAUUGGGAUUGUUCCUGAUCCAAGACCUUCAUCCCUCCAUACCAGAGGCGUUCAGAUUCGAGGUGCCCCAAGACCCCAGCACCCUCAGACCCCAGAUUUCUUUGGAUUCAAACCUCUCUAGUCUGAUGAACCCCAAGUUGCCUCUACACCUGAUUCCCCCAUCCCCACUUGUCGGACCUCAGAGACCUGCUGCCCCUUGAAUCCUGUCAUCCAUAGGCCCCUAAAACCCCAAGGUUCCAGCCUCUGGAAUUCUGGUCCCAAGGAUCCCAGCCCAAGCCCCCAGCAAUCCUCAGAAUUACCCCUUUAUCUUAGGGUGGGAUCCCUACCAUUUGGAACUCAUUGUAGGACCACCCAGGGUGGGGCACAGUGGCUCAUGCCUUGUAAUCCCAGCACUUUGGGAGGCCAAGGGAGGAGGAUCGCUUAAGGCCAGGAGUUUGAGACCAGCCUGGGCAAUGUAGUGAGACCGUCUCUAAAAAAAAAAAAAAAGGACCAAGUAGGAGCUCCCUCACUGUCACGUCUAGGACCCAGCAUUGUCACAGAUGAUUAUGCAGGGUCUUCAUUAAGUGAAGGCACACAGCCCAGGGUUUCGAGGAGCUGGAAGUCACACCAGUCUGCUGGCCACACUGUGCCCUCAGAAGAAGUGUGUGCAAUGGAAACUUUCAGGCUAGUUAUGGCUCUGCUGUCCCACAGCCCCCAGUCUUGCAGACCUUCCUUCAAGCACAACCUUAAUUCCUAGUCCAGGUUCAAGUCCCACCUUUUAUGUUCUCCCCCUCCAUUAACCCCUUCUCUUCCUAUUUAUUUAUUUAUUUAUUUAUUUAUUUUGAGACAGAGUCUCGCUGUAUCACCCAGGCUGGAGUGCAGUGGCACAAUCUCGGCUCACCACAACCUCCCCCUCCCGGGUUCAAGCCAUUCGUCUGCCUCAGCCUCCCGAGUAGCUGGGAUAACAGGCAUGUGCCACCACACCCAGCUAAUUUUUUGUAUUUUGAGUAGAGACAGGGUUUCACCAUGUUGGCCAGGAUGGUCUCAAACUCCUGACCUCAUGAUCCACCUGCCUCAGCCUCCCAAAGUGCUGGGAUUACAGGCAUGAGCCACUGCACCUGGCUCUCUUCCACUUUAGAGUGAGAAGUUGCUUCAGGAAGUUUGAAAGCCUGUUUCAUGGCCCACUGAGUCUCUUCUGUGCAAAGGGGGGUGCCACAGGCUUUUUUCCCCCAAGUGAAAUGGGGCUUCCAGUGGAUCGAAGAUCUGGUGUCCUGUAUGGGGGCCUCAAGGUCUUGGAGCAAGACAGUCUCAAUGUUGUAUGGGCUUGGGACCUGCAUCUGGCCCCAAGCAUCUGGAACUGUGCACUUAACCUUUCUUCAUUACCCAGACUUGGAUGGCCUUGUUGGGGUUCAAGGGAUAGGUCCUCUGUCUCUUCCUUUAAAUUAUUAACUAUUUAUUACAUCCGGAACCUGUGAGAUUCAGCACUCCCAACCAGACCCUGGGAUGGGUGAGAGAAAAGCGGGGGUGUCUCUCCCCUCCCCACUCUGCCCAGCUCUCAUCACUGUCAGACCCACCAGAGCUGAGGGCGGAGGGAUUGGGGGCUGGGGCAGCCUGGGUCCCCAUGCCCCUCUCUGUGCCUCGGUCUCCCCCCUUCCAUGGUGGGCGGGGGGGAAGCUCCAUUCUUAACCUACCUCGUUUUGGGGAGGGGUGGGACGGGGGACCAGAGUGCUGUACGGUGCUGUGGGAUCUGCAGAUGAAGCGGUGGGGGCUAAGGAAAGGUCCCCUGGCCGCCACUUCCCAGCAGCGCCUCUCCCAGGUCCCCCAGUCCUGCUCCCUGCUGAGACCCACCUCUGAUCCAUGAUUCCCCUUCAUUGCCCCCAAAUCAGGGGUACAUGGAGGGCCGCCCUGGGAGCCAGGCAGACCUCAGACCCUGGAGCCCCCAGGCCCAAUUUCCCAGCCGCUUGCCCCUCAGAUCGGAUGCUUGGCCCCCAGAUUUGGGGGAGGCACCCCAACAUAUAUCUUCCUGAUCUUGUUUCUAAGCCAGUCUGUGACCUCAAUAUUGUUAGUGUCAGUGCAGGCUGAAGUGGUGGGGGAGGAUGGGGGCCAAAGACCCAGCCUUGUCAUCGGGGGAGGGGGCACGAGAUCUGCUCCAAGAAAUGUCUGUGACAAAGUCUCA